rnacentral:rRNA from 1 species
CCUACGGGAGGCAGCAGUGGGGAAUAUUGCACAAUGGGCGAAACCCUGAUGCAGCGACGCCGCGUGAGUGAAGAAGGAAUUCGUUAUGUAAAGCUCUGUCAUCAGGGAAGAAAAUGACGGUACCUGAGGAGGAAGCCCCGGCUAACUACGUGCCAGCAGCCGCGGUAAUACGUAGGGGGCUAGCGUUAUCCGGAUUUACUGGGUGUAAAGGGAGCGUAGGUGGGAGUUUAAGUCUGGAGUGAAAGGCGGAGGCUCAACCCGCGGAAAGCUUUGGAAACUGUACAGCUGGAGUGCAGGAGAGGUAAGUGGAAUUCCUAGUGUAGCGGUGAAAUGCGUAGAUAUUAGGAGGAACACCAGUUGCGAAGGCGGCUCUCUGGACUGUAACUGACGCUGAGGCACGAAAGCGUGGGGAGCAAACAGGAUUAGAUACCCGAGUAGUC